CACCUUCCAAACCGCUAGGUUGGACUCAGGCUCUCACACAGCCAGGAGAGCCAUUUCUAGGCACACCUUCUCGGGUGACUCAUGAGCACCAAGGCAGGCCUGUGCGUCCAAGCACCUGCACAGGCAGGAGCAAGGCUCCCUUCCCUAAUCCGAAUCCUUACCUUGCCCCUAGCAAACUCCCAACUCCUGCCUGACAAGUUACUGCCUAACCCUUGACUUAUUUUGGGAAUCCCUGACCCAUUUCUUUAUUAUCCCUCAUUUCAGAGCACACGGUGCUUGCAGGGCUUGGAGGCGGGAUGGGCUGGGAAACUGCCGGUUCAGUCAGACUGAGUCACUUCAAGGAGGGGAGUGGCGACAGCAGCGGGUGCCAGAUGACACGGAGCUGUCGGCUUCCGUGUGCUUUUUCUUUUGACAGCAGCCGUAAAGAAGUUGUCAGCAAGGGAGCUCCCUAAUGGGCUUUUCCAUUUAAGAAAAAAGCACUCUACUUGGGCACUGAUGGAGAAAUGAACUACAAGAAGUAAAACUCUGAGGUCUGGAGACAGGAAGCUACUGAAAUCAAUCAGAGCCAUCCACCGCGCAGAUCCGCGCCCGGGUACCCAGCAGGAGCAGCUCCAAACCUGCGGCGAAAGCCUGGAGAGGGUGUCCGAGCGAGAGGCGCGCCCCUCGCGUUCCCACCCUCUGCGGGGGCGGCCCUGGGCGCGUGGAGCCGGGUGCGGGGACGCUGCAGGCCCUCAGGUCCCGGGUCCCCGCCUUCCCCGCUGCUUGCGGGUGGGCCCCUAGGCGCGGCUCCUCCUCCUGCGCCCCGCCUCCCCGAGCUCUCCCCUGCGCCCCCGCCGCCGCCCCCGAGGCACACCGAGCAGCCUGGCAGCCGCACCACCAAACUUUCCCGGGAGCCAGCGCCGGUGAGUCGCAGCGGGGCACCGGCUUGGGCGGGAGCGGGGCCGCCGCAGCGAAACGAGGCAGCGCGCUGGCUGGGCUGGGAUCCGGAUAUCCCUGCCGGGUGGCCGGGACCCCGAGAGCCGGCGGCUUGAGAUGGGCGCUUGGGUACCCUCGCGACACGGGUGGCCUGGGUAGGGUGGCGGAGCGCGGUUCGCUCGGUGGCACCGCUCCCCUCUCCGCAUUGUGGCCCCAGCACUCGACAGGCAGACACCUUUAG
rnacentral:lncRNA from 13 species